rnacentral:lncRNA from 1 species
AUGGAAGAUAAUCCUGGAACUUAAAUGUACUGCUCUUACUACUGACUAACUAAUGCAUUCAGCUCGCAGUAAAAUCCAAAGAGGUGUUACAUCACUAAAGAAGAAAGCCAGAAACUGGAAAAGGUUUAAAAGCCUUCUUGUAGGCCAUUUUCAAAAAUGGGACUUUCUAUUGCCUUGCGGCCUGUUGGCUUGAAUGCCGUGGUGCUUUCUGGUGUGAUGCAUCUCUGCCCCUGCAAGCAAUUCUGAUAAAAUCAACAGAUAAAACAAAAAAGAUUUUCCAUAUCAUUAAUUCUGUCUGGAGGCUCCAGCAACAGCUGUAUUUGAAGAAACUGGAUUAUAAUUGAGAGAAAUUUAUUAAUGAUUUUGUUGAUGCCCUCUGCCUUUCUUAUUGAUUCCACUGGAAAGCAUCAGCUUGAUUGUAUUGCCACGGAGCACGAGCAGGAGACAUGUGCACGAAUGCCGUGAUCCCCUGCAGUCCAGGUGUGGAAGCUGAGGGCGCAGGAGCGGUUCUCUCUUGGUUUGGGGUGGUUUGUGAAAAUGUAGCUGUAGUGCAUCACCGGACAGGAGGGAAAAGGAUGUGUGUGUGUGGAGGUACAGACAGGUUCACACAAGGACAACAAUCACUGGAUCCUUCCUCAAGAGUCUUCAGCAGUGGCCAACAACAUCUGAAGAUGAAAAGGAAAAGUAGCACAGCCCUUUGGGAGAGCUGCUCGAGCAACAAGGCUCUGGCUGAAGGCAUCUUCAAGAGCAGCUCCUGCACCCUUCCCAGCUCCCUGCUCUCCACCAUGGGCCAGAGAUCACACAAUUCAGAUCAUCUGCCCGACACUGAAAAGAUCAGAGAUCGAUGCACCCUUUGCUGA